ACCCGCUGAACUUAAGCAUAUCAAUAAGCGGAGGAAAAGAAACCAACAGGGAUUACCUCAGUAACGGCGAGUGAAGCGGUAACAGCUCAAAUAUGAAAUCUGGGUCUUUCAGGCUCCGAGUUGUAAUUUGUAGAAGAUGCUUCGGGUGCGGCUCCGGUCUAAGUUCCUUGGAACAGGACGUCAUAGAGGGUGAGAAUCCCGUAUGUGAUCGGUUGCUUGCGCCCAUGUGAAGCUCUUUCGACGAGUCGAGUUGUUUGGGAAUGCAGCUCAAAAUGGGUGGUAAAUUUCAUCUAAAGCUAAAUAUUGGCCAGAGACCGAUAGCGCACAAGUAGAGUGAUCGAAAGAUGAAAAGCACUUUGGAAAGAGAGUUAAACAGUACGUGAAAUUGUUGAAAGGGAAGCGCUUGCAACCAGACUUGCGCGUUGCCGAUCAUCUGGGGUUCUCCCCAGUGCACUCGGCCUCGCUCAGGCCAGCAUCGGUUUCGGUGGUGGGAUAAAGGCCUUGGGAAUGUAGCUUCUUUCGGGGAGUGUUAUAGCCCUCGGUGCAAUGCCGCCUACCGGGACCGAGGACCGCGCUUCGGCUAGGAUGCUGGCGUAAUGGUUGUAAGCGACCCGUCUUGAAACACGGACCAAGGAGUCUAACAUCUAUGCGAGUGUUUGGGUGUCAAACCCAUACGCGUAAUGAAAGUGAACGGAGGUGAGAACCCUUAAGGGUGCAUCAUCGACCGAUCCUGAUGUCUUCGGAUGGAUUUGAGUAAGAGCAUAGCUGUUGGGACCCGAAAGAUGGUGAACUAUGCCUGAAUAGGGUGAAGCCAGAGGAAACUCUGGUGGAGGCUCGCAGCGGUUCUGACGUGCAAAUCGAUCGUCAAAUUUGGGUAUAGGGGCGAAAGACUAAUCGAACCAUCUAGUAGCUGGUUCCUGCCGAAGUUUCCCUCAGGA
rnacentral:rRNA from 1 species